GAUCAUGGCUCAGAUUGAACGCUGGCGGCAGGCUUAACACAUGCAAGUCGAACGGUAACAGGAAGAAAGCUUGCUUUCUUUGCUGACGAGUGGCGGACGGGUGAGUAAUGCUUGGGAAUCUGGCUUAUGGAGGGGGAUAACUACGGGAAACUGUAGCUAAUACCGCGUAAUAUCGAGAGAUUAAAGGGUGGGACCGCAAGGCCACCUGCCAUGAGAUGAGCCCAAGUGGGAUUAGGUAGUUGG
rnacentral:rRNA from 1 species